GACGGAGGGCGCGAGCGUUGUUCGGAAUUACUGGGCGUAAAGCGCGCGCAGGCGGGCGUGUAAGUCGGGGGGUGAAAUUUCAGGGCUCAACCCUGGAACUGCUUCCGAUACUGCACGUCUAGGGACCGGUAGAGGUCGGUGGAAUUCCCGGUGUAGCGGUGGAAUGCGUAGAGAUCGGGGAAGAACACCCGUGGCGAAGGCGGCCGACUGGGCCGGAUCCGACGCUGAGGCGCGAAAGCGUGGGGAGCAAACAGG
rnacentral:rRNA from 1 species